rnacentral:rRNA from 1 species
GUUUGAUCCUGGCUCAGGACGAACGCUGGCGGCGUGCCUAAUACAUGCAAGUCGAACGGCGAUUGUAGCAAUACGGUCUUAGUGGCGAACGGGUGAGUAACGCGUUGGUAACCUGCCCCGAAGCGUGGGAUAACGGCCCGAAAGGACCACUAAUACCACAUGUGAUCCCGAGGAAUAGAUACUUGGGAUGAAAGGAGCAAUUCGCUUCGGGAGGGACCUGCGUCCCAUCAGCUAGUUGGUAGGGUAACGGCCUACCAAGGCGAUGACGGGUAGGGGACCUGAGAGGGUGGCCCCCCACAAUGGAACUGAAACACGGCCCAUACACCUACGGGUGGCAGCAGUAGGGAAUAUUGGUUAAUGUGCGAAAGCGCGAACCAGCAACGCCGCGUGUGCGAUGAAGGCCUUCGGGUCGUAAAGCACUUUUUGCAGGGAAGAGGAAGGACGGUACCUGCAGAAUAAGUCUCGGCUAACUACGUGCCAGCAGCCGCGGUAAAACGUAGGAGACGAGCGUUAUCCGGAUUUACUGGGCGUAAAGCGCGUGUAGGCGGUUCGGUAAGUUGGAUGUGAAAGCUCCUGGCUUAACUGGGAGAGGUCGUUCAAUACUGCCGAGCUAGAGGAUGGUAGAGGGAGGUGGAAUUCCGAGUGUAGUGGUGAAAUGCGUAGAUAUUCGGAGGAACACCAGUGGCGAAAGCGGCCUCCUGGACCAUUUCUGACGCUCAGACGCGAAAGCUAGGGUAGCAGACGGGAUUAGAGACCCCGGUAGUCUUAGCUGUAAACGAUGUGGACUUGGCGUCGGCGGGUUUAAAUCCGUCGGUGUCGAAGCUAACGCGAUAAGUCCACCGCCUGGGGACUACGGCCGCAAGGUUAAAACUCAAAGGAAUUGACGGGGGCCCGCACAAGCAGCGGAGCGUGUGGUUUAAUUCGAUGCUACACGAAGAACCUUACCAGGGCUUGACAUGGAAGUGGUAGUGAAGCGAAAGCGGAACGACCCUUCGGGGAGCUUACACAGGUGCUGCAUGGCUGUCGUCAGCUCGUGUCGUGAGAUGUUCGGUUAAGUCCGCUAACGAGCGCAACCCUCGCCGCGUGUUAUACGUGUCACGCGGGACUGCCAGUCUUAAGCUGGAGGAAGGUGGGGAUGACGUCAAGUCAGCAUGGCCUUUAUGUCCUGGGCUACACACACGCUACAAUGGCCGGUACAGUAGGUAGCGAAGCCGCGAGGUGGAGCCAAUCCACAAAGCCGGUCUCAGUUCGGAUCGGAGUCUGCAACUCGACUCCGUGAAGCUGGAUUCGCUAGUAAUCGCGCAUCAGCCAUGGCGCGGUGAAUACGUUCCCGGGCCUUGUACACACCGCCCGUCAAGCCAUGGAAGUUGGGGGUACCUGAAGUCCGUAACCGUAAGGAGCGGCCUAGGGUAAAACCAGUGACUGGGGCUAAGUCGUAACAAGGUAGCCG